rnacentral:tRNA from 1 species
AUGUCGCUGGGUUGUGCGCUGAGCCCUACCAUUGAGAAUGGUAGAAUGGCCGCAAAGGGUGGCGAGCCGACGUUCAGCCCUGGCCGACAAAC